AUACGGAGGAUCCGGGCGUUAUCCGGAUUUAUUGGGUUGAAAGGGUGCGUAGGCGGGACUGUAAGUCAGGGGUGAAAUACUGCAGCUUAACUGUAGCAUGCCUUUGAAACUGCCGUUCUUGAGUACAGUUGAGGUAGGCGGAAUGUGGUGUGUAGCGGUGAAAUGCAUAGAUAUACCACAGAACGCCGAUUGCGAAGGCAGCUUACUAAGCUGUUACUGUCGCUGAGGCACGAAAGCGUGGGGAUCAAACAGGAUUAGAUACCCUGGUAGUCUACGCAGUAAACGAUGAUGACUAACCGUCGGCGAUAGACCGCCGGUGGCCAAGCGAAAGCGAUAAGUCAUCCACCUGGGGAGUACGACCGCAAGGUUGAAACUCAAAUGAAUUGACGGGG
rnacentral:rRNA from 1 species